rnacentral:rRNA from 1 species
GUGCCAGCAGCCGCGGUAAUACCGGCAGCCCAAGUGAUGGCCGAUCUUAUUGGGCCUAAAGCGUCCGUAGCUGGCCACGCAAGUCCAUCGAGAAAUCCACUCGCCCAACGAGUGGGCGUCCGACGGAAACUGCACAGCUUGGGACCGGAAGGCUCGAAGGGUACGUUCGGGGUAGGAGUGAAAUCCUAUAAUCCCGCACGGACCACCGAUGGCGAAAGCACUUCGAGAAAACGGAUCCGACAGUGAGGGACGAAAGCCUGGGUCUCCAACCGGAUUAGAUACCCCAGAGUCC